rnacentral:rRNA from 1 species
GAUGAACGCUAGCGGCAGGCCUAAUACAUGCAAGUCGAACGAUAGUGAGAAGCUUGCUUCUCACGAAAGUGGCGCACGGGUGCGUAACGCGUAUGCAACCUACCUUAAUCAGGGGGAUAGCCCGAAGAAAUUCGGAUUAACACCGCAUAAAGUCACAGUAUAGCAUUAUACAAUGAUCAAAUAUUUAUAGGAUUAAGAUGGGCAUGCGUGACAUUAGUUAGUUGGCGGGGUAACGGCCCACCAAGACCACGAUGUCUAGGGGAUCUGAGAGGAUGACCCCCCACACUGGUACUGAGACACGGACCAGACUCCUACGGGAGGCAGCAGUAAGGAAUAUUGGUCAAUGGAGGCAACUCUGAACCAGCCAUGCCGCGUGCAGGAAGACAGCCCUCUGGGUCGUAAACUGCUUUUAUUCGGGGAUAAACCUAUCUACGUGUAGAUAGCUGAAUGUACCGAAGGAAUAAGGAUCGGCUAACUCCGUGCCAGCAGCCGCCGUAA